rnacentral:rRNA from 1 species
UGGGGAAUAUUGCACAAUGGGCGCAAGCCUGAUGCAGCGACGCCGCGUGAGGGAUGACGGCCUUCGGGUUGUAAACCUCUUUCACCAGGGACGAAGCGUAAGUGACGGUACCUGGAGAAGAAGCACCGGCCAACUACGUGCCAGCAGCCGCGGUAAUACGUAGGGUGCGAGCGUUGUCCGGAAUUACUGGGCGUAAAGAGCUCGUAGGUGGUUUGUCGCGUUGUUCGUGAAAACUCACAACUCAAUUGUGGGCGUGCGGGCGAUACGGGCAGACUAGAGUACUGCAGGGGAGACUGGAAUUCCUGGUGUAGCGGUGGAAUGCGCAGAUAUCAGGAGGAACACCGGUGGCGAAGGCGGGUCUCUGGGCAGUAACUGACGCUGAGGAGCGAAAGCGUGGGGAGCGAACAGG